rnacentral:rRNA from 1 species
CAGCAGCCGCGGUAAUACCGGCGGCCCGAGUGGCGGCCACUAUUAUUGGGCUUAAAGCGUCCGUAGCCGGGUUGGGAAGUCCUCCGGGAAAUCUGGCCGCUUAACGGUCAGAAUGCCGGAGGAUACUCCCAGCCUAGGGAGCGGGAGAGGCCGAGGGUAUUCCCGGAGUAGGGGUGAAAUCCUAUAAUCCCGGGAGGACCACCUGUGGCGAAGGCGCUCGGCUGGAACGCGUCCGACGGUGAGGGACGAAGGCCAGGGGAGCAAACCGGAUUAGAUACCCGGGUAGUCCUGGCUGUAAACGAUGCGGACUUUGUGUCGGACAAGCUAUGAGCUUGUCCGGUGCCGGAGGGAAACCGUUAAGUCCGCCGCCUGGGGAGUACGGCCGCAAGGCUGAAACUUAAAGGAAUUGGCGGG